UUCAUUUCAUUGUUUUUUCAAUUUUCUUACUUGUUCUUAGAUAAAGAAUUAUUAUAUACUUGGUCCUAGUAAUUGUUAAGAGUAAAAAGUUUAUAAUGAAUGUUUUAACAAUAAAUAACCAAGCAAACUUGUGAACAAUUGAAUAAAAUGGAUAAUAUAUCAAAGUACAUGACACCUAUGGACGAACUUGACAUAGCUUUGUUGUCACUAGACAAUGUAUGGAUGAAGACGGCACAACCGAUACGGGGAAGAAAUGAUUUUAAUUUUGAUGAUAAUUAUUCUUCAGAGGAAAGUGACAUAAAUGAAGAUUAUUCAGUUGAAUACAGCCAAGAAUUAUUGCAUUUUAUGUAAUAAAUUAAUUGAUGAUAACCAUAUUGAUGAUGAUGAACAUAAAAAUAGAUUACAAAAUGCAAUUAUAUCAGAACGAAAUGACAAGAAUCAGAAAGAACGAAAUCAAGAUGAAAAAAUAGAAGAACAAAAGAUAGAA